rnacentral:rRNA from 1 species
GAUGAACGCUGGCGGCGUGCCUAAUACAUGCAAGUCGAGCGAAAAGACGCGGAGCUUGUUGCUCUGUCGUGUGCGGCGGGGGGGAGUAAAACAUGUGUAAACCCCCCCUAUAUUACUGGUAUAACUACGAGAAAGCGGCGAUAACCCCGGAGAAUCUCUUGAACCGCAUGGGUCAAUAGUGAAAGUCGGCUGUGCUGUCUGUGAUAGCUGGUUCUGCGCCGGUUUGGCUAGUUGGGAAGUUAAAGGCUUUUCACGGGGACGAUGCGUAACCGACCUGAGAGAGUGAUAGGCCACACUGGAACUGAGACACGGUCCAGACGCCUACGGGAGGCAGCAGUAGGGAAUCUUCCGCAAUGGGCGAAAGCCUUACGGAGCAACGCCGCGUGAGUGAUGAAGGUCUUCGGAUCGUAAAACUCUGUUAUUAGGGAAGAACAAAUGUGUAAGUAACUGUGCACGGCUUGACGGUACCUAGUCAGAAAGCCACGGCUAACUACGUG